rnacentral:rRNA from 1 species
UACGGAAGGCAGCAGUGGGGAAUAUUGCACAAUGGGCGAAAGCCUGAUGCAGCUAUGCCGCGUGUAUGAAGAAGGCCUUAGGGUUGUAAAGUACUUUCAUCGGGGAGGAAAAACAAAACUAAUAAUUUUAUUUCUUGACGUUACCCGAAAAAGAAGCACCGGCUAACUCCGUGCCAGCAGCCGCGGUAAUACGGAGGGUGCUAGCGUUAAUCAGAAUUACUGGGCGUAAAGAGCACGUAGGUGGUUUUUUUAAGUCAGAUGUGAAAUCCCUGGGCUUAACCUAGGAACUGCAUUUUGAAACUGAAAUACUAGAGUAUCGUAGAGGGAGGUAGGAAUUCUAGGUGUAGCGGUGAAAUGCGUAGAUAUCUGGAGGAAUACCUGUGGCGAAAGCGGCCUCCUAAACGAAUACUGACACUGAGGUGCGAAAGCGUGGGGAGCGAAACAGGGAUUAGAUACC